rnacentral:rRNA from 1 species
UACAGAGGUCUCAAGCGUUGUUCGGAUUCAUUGGGCGUAAAGGGUGUGUAGGUGGCCUGAUAAGGGUGUGGUGAAAGUCCGGGGCUUAACCCCGGAUCUGCCGUGCCGACUGUUAGGCUAGAGUGCUGUAGGGGCAGGCGGAAUUCCGGGUGUAGCGGUGGAAUGCGUAGAGAUCCGGAGGAAGACCGGUGGCGAAGGCGGCUUCCUGGACCGACACUGACGCUGAGGCGCGAAAGCUAGGGGAGCAAACGGG